CACCUUUUAUGCAAAAUGCACUUUUCCAUGUCUUUUAAACAACAAUAUCUGUCCCCAGUGUGUCUACAGGUCACCAUAGUAUCAUAAAAGACCAUCCUCUCUCUUUUUCUCCUGCUCCGUUUGUCCGGAAAUGGGUGCAGAAAAUCACUUCGCUUUUUUUCCUUCUCUUCUGACGUCAUUAGAGAAAUGCAAGCCAUGUAAGGGUUUCCUGGUUGAACCAGAGAGAACCUUCAGUAGCUGACCCCGCCCCACAGCGCGUCACUGUCUCUCCUCCUCAACCGAACUUGAGCAAAGUAGCUCCUACUGUUAGUCUGCAAGAACCAGCAGAACAGGCUUCAUGUACUCCCAUCAUCUAAAUAUAACA